GACGAACGCUGGCGGCGUGCUUAACACAUGCAAGUCGAACGGAAAGGCCCUGCUUUUGUGGGGUGCUCGAGUGGCGAACGGGUGAGUAACACGUGAGUAACCUGCCCUUGACUUUGGGAUAACUUCAGGAAACUGGGGCUAAUACCGGAUAGGAGCUCCUGCUGCAUGGUGGGGGUUGGAAAGUUUCGGCGGUUGGGGAUGGACUCGCGGCUUAUCAGCUUGUUGGUGGGGUAGUGGCUUACCAAGGCUUUGACGGGUAGCCGGCCUGAGAGGGUGACCGGCCACAUUGGGACUGAGAUACGGCCCAGACUCCUACGGGAGGCAGCAGUGGGGAAUAUUGCACAAUGGGCGGAAACCUGAUGCAGCAACGCCGCGUGCGGGAUGACGGCCUUCGGGUUGUAAACCGCUUUCGCCUGUGACGAAGCGUGAGUGACGGUAAUGGGGAAAGAAGCACCGGCUAACUACGU
rnacentral:rRNA from 1 species